GCAGUCGAACGCGAACGGGGCUUCGGCCCCUAGUAGAGUGGCGAAAGGGCGAGGAAUACAUUCCUACGUACCCCAAGGUCGGGGACAAUCAGGGGAAACUCUGACUAAUACCCGAUGUGGUCCUUCGGGAUCAAAGGUUUACUGCCUUGGGAGCGGGGAAUGUCCUAUCAGGUAGUUGGUGAGGUAAUGGCUCACCAAGCCGAAGACGGGUAGCGGGUGUGAGAGCACGGCCCGCCGCAUCGGGACUGAGACACUGCCCGGACUCCUACGGGAGGCUGCAGUAACGAAUCUUCCGCAAUGCGCGAAAGCGUGACGGGGCAAUGCCGCGUGCAGGAUGAAUCCCCUCGGGGUGUAAACUGCUGUCAGGGUUUAGGAAAAAAAUGACCAGACCCAAAGGAAGCACCGGCUAACUCUGUGCCAGCAGCCGCGGUAAUACAGAGGGUGCGAGCGUUAAUCGGAAUCACUGGGCUUAAAGCGUGCGUAGGCGGGUGUGCAGGCAUGUUGUGAAAUCCCAUGGCUCAACCAUGGAAUAGCUUCGUGAACCGCACAUCUUGAGGCAGGUAGGGGCGGUCGGAACGAUAGGUGGAGCGGUGAAAUGCGUAGAUAUCUAUCGGAACGCCAAAGGAGAAGUCAGGCCGCUGGGCCUGUCCUGACGCUGAGGCACGAAAGCGUGGGGAGCAAACGGGAUUAGAUACCCUGGUAGUCCCCU
rnacentral:rRNA from 1 species